UACGGAGGAUGCGAGCGUUAUCCGGAUUUAUUGGGUUUAAAGGGUGCGCAGGCGGGCUAAUAAGUCAGCGGUGAAAUAUUCAGGCUUAACCUGAAGACUGCCGUUGAAACUGUCAGUCUUGAGUAUAGAUGAAGUAGGCGGAAUUCGUUGUGUAGCGGUGACAUGCAUAGAUAUAACGAGGAACUCCGAUUGCGUAGGCAGCUUACUAAACUAUAACUGACGCUCAUGCACGAAAGCGUGGGGAUCAAACAGGAUUAGAUACCCUGGUAGUCCACGCCGUAAACGAUGAUUACUAGUUGUAUGCGAUAUGAUAGUAUGUGACUAAGCGAAAGCGAUAAGUAAUCCACCUGGGGAGUACGCCGGCAACGGUGAA
rnacentral:rRNA from 1 species